GGCAAGUUACAACCACUGGACCAGUAACAUCAAGUGGGCAAGUUACAACUACUGGACAAGUUACAUCAAGUGUGCAAGUUACAACUACUGGACCAGUUACAUCAAGUGGGCAAGUUACAACCACUGGACCAGUUACAUCAAGUGGGCAAGUUACAACUACUGGACAAGUUACAUCAAGUGGGCAAGUUACAACUACUGGACAAGUUACAUCAAGUGGGCAAGUUACAACUACUGGACCAGUUACAUCAAGUGGGCAAGUUACAACUACUGGACAAGUUACAUCAAGUGGGCAAGUUACAACCACUGGACCAGUUACAUCAAGUGGGCAAGUUACAACUACUGGACCAGUUACAUCAAGUGGGCAAGUUACAACUACUGGACUAGUUACUACUAGUCACACCACCGUGGGGAACAUUAAUGUCACCACUAACGGCCUAGAAAACGCAGUAAAUAUCAUGAAAAAUCUCUCCUCCUACCUGGAACAGACGGGCAACUCCACGGCAUAUAUUAAAAUAGGCAAUAUUAAAGGAGUGGUCACUAAACUUCCCCCCAGAAAUCAAGAAAACAUCAACAUUGGCAUCACAACAAGUGAUGGUGUCAAAAUUAUAGAGAAUAACAAUGAUUUGACGACAGGCUGCUCUCGAUUGGUACAAAUCCCAAAAGAGGCCAGUGACAUGGCAGUAGGAAGAAAUGGUUCAUUUGUUGGAGUUGUAUUUUUUUCAGGAAUAUAUCAGUAUUCCACUCUCAGCAGAAUGACUCCAACAGUUAUUUUCUCAACAAUGAGGCAGUGGGAAUUGAUAUGGGAACAGAAAUAUCCAACCUCUCACAUACCAUAGACAUUCAGUUCAAUAAUGUGGACAAGGUAAGAGGUGGAAGAUAAAAUA